AAAGGAAUAGACGGGGACCCGCACAAGCAGUGGAGGAUGGGGUUUAAUAUGACGCUAAGCGUAGAACCUUACCGAGGCUUGACAUCCUGGGAAUCUGAUCGAAAGAUCGGAGUGCCUUCGGGAAUCCAGUGACAGGUGCUGCAUGGCCGUCGUCAGCUCGUGUCGUGAGAUGUUGGGUUAAGUCCCGCAACGAGCGCAACCCUUGUCGUCUGUUGUAUUUUCAGGCGAGACUGCCCGGGCCAACCGGGAGGAAGGUGAGGACGACGUCUGGUCGGCAUGGCCCUUACGCCUCGGGCUACACCCGUCCUACAAUGGCUGGUACAACGCGUCGCCAAGUCGCAAGACGGAGCUAAUCGCACCAAAACCAGUCCCAGUUCGGAUUGGGGGCUGAAACUCGCCCCCAUGAAGUCGGAAUUGCUAGUAAUGGCAGGUCAGCUAUACUGCCGUGAAUACGUUCCCGGGUCUUGUACACACCGCCCGU
rnacentral:rRNA from 1 species